UCGUGAAUAUUGCACAAUGGGCGCAAGCCUGAUGCAGCCAUGCCGCGUGUGUGAAGAAGGCCUUCGGGUUGUAAAGCACUUUCAGCGGGGAGGAAGGCGAUAAGGUUAAUAACCUUGUCGAUUGACGUUACCCGCAGAAGAAGCACCGGCUAACUCCGUGCCAGCAGCCGCGGUAAUACGGAGGGUGCAAGCGUUAAUCGGAAUUACUGGGCGUAAAGCGCACGCAGGCGGUCUGUCAAGUCGGAUGUGAAAUCCCCGGGCUCAACCUGGGAACUGCAUUCGAAACUGGCAGGCUAGAGGCUUGUAGAGGGGGGUAGAAUUCCAGGUGUAGCGGUGAAAUGCGUAGAGAUCUGGAGGAAUACCGGUGGCGAAGGCGGCCCCCUGGACAAAGACUGACGCUCAGGUGCGAAAGCGUGGGGAGCAAACAGG
rnacentral:rRNA from 1 species